GGUGAGGUGGCCGAGUGGCUGAAGGCGCUCCCCUGCUAAGGGAGUAUGCGUUUAUACCGCAUCGAGGGUUCGAAUCCCUCCCUCACCGCCA
rnacentral:tRNA from 1 species